CAGGGAGGGGGUAUCCUUUCUGCCUUCCCUGGUGGUCCUAGUGGUGAGAGUGAACUCUAGCCUGCGGGGCCAGAGUUCACUCUUGCGAGAUCUGAGCAUUGCCGCAGUAACCGCGGCAACGCUCAGAUCUCGCGAAAGGAACCCUGGCGGAGCUGCUGGCAAUAGCUCCCCGGGUCCUCUCCUGCCUCCCUCCCUGCAUGUGGGUCGGUGGGAAGGGAGGCUGAGAGCAGAGCCGGCGCUUGGAUAGCGCCGGCUCUGCAUGAGCCGACAGGGGAGAUCCUUAGAUUUCCCCUGCCGGUCUCAAUACAUAGGCGUGCCGCGGGGAUUAGGGUGUGCCCAG